CAGGAACUGUACCGGAUACAAGGGCUCAAAUAUGAAUGGGCAAGUGUCCCUGCUCUGAAGAUGCUCAUUAUAAAAUACUUCUGGUGCUAUUAAAGUAUUUCACACUCUACCAGGAGAAUAAAACCACUGAAAGGCUUUGGGCAAGCAAAUCGGGUUGUUGCUAAGGGAAACGGCUGCAUUUUGAAGCAACAAUGGGAAUACUUCUGGAAUCAUCCCUCUAUUGUUGCCUGCCCAGAGCAAUCUAAACUGGUGCUGGAAAGAGAAUCAGCCUAGGACAGCAAAUGACAAAGUGGUGAUGCACGUAGUCCUUGCAUGGUCAAGGGACCGACAGUAAAGCAACCUUUGAAAAAGCCAUGCAUUUCCCUCUGUUCUUCAUCACAUCAACAGAGUGGUCACCUCAACGACCCUAAUAGUACCUUUGCUAAUUUUCAGUAUCGCCUUCUUAAUAAAGAAAUAUGAAAAACAGAAAUCACUAUUAAUAAUAUCAAUAAAAUGCUAAAAAUGCUGCAGGUGCACAUAUAAAGUUUGAUUGAUCUCUCCUCCCUCAGAUCUUUACUCAACUAUCACCUUGUCAGGGAGUCUUCCCUGGCUGCCUUGUCUGAAACUGCACACUCCAUUAAACUAACUUCCUAAUGCCUUCCUUGCUUUUUCUCCAAACAUACUACAAAUUUUACUUAUUCAUGUUGUUUAUUGUUCACUAGAAUGUAAGCUCAAUGAGGGAUGUUCCUCUGUUGUUCUCUGCUGUGUCCCCAGCACCUAGAACAGUGCCUACUACAUAGUAGGUGUCCAAUAAAUAUUUGAGUGAAUUGAUGAGAUACACUUGGACACACAAAUGUGGUAUGACAAUUAUUUUAAGCUGAUGAAAACAUCUAAGUAAGUAGCAGCUGCAGAAAAAUCCUUAUCUAAACUUCUUGUGCUGACUUAAGCAAAGUUUCUUGAAAAUACAGCUGCCAUAACCUCUCUCUGGGAGGUUUAGGACCACUCAUACCUGGAUGAGAAAUUACAAAGACAAAACCUUUCCAAAAGCUUCUGUACCUUCCACUUGCUUCUACUUAGUUUCCCGCCACGUGCUUUCUUUCCCUUGAAGUUCUAUUAAGGAUUUUUCUUGGUAAGAUCAACUCUUAACUCUAGCUGUU